GUUUAGAACGUCGUGAGACAGUUCGGUCCCUAUCUGCCGUGGACGUUGGAGAUUUGAGGAAAGCUGCUCCUAGUACGAGAGGACCGGAGUGGACGAACCUCUGGUGUUCGGGUUGUGACGCCAGUCGCAUUGCCCGGUAGCUAUGUUCGGACAGGAUAACCGCUGAAAGCAUCUAAGCGGGAAGCCCCUUCCAAGAUGAGAUCUCCCUGGACCCUCGAGGUCCCUGAAGAGCCGUUCAAGACCAGGACGUUGAUAGGUCGGGUGUGUAAGCGCUGCGAGGCGUUGAGCUAACCGAUACUAAUUGCUCGUGCG
rnacentral:rRNA from 14 species